AGAAUGUUGAAAAUUUUUGAUUGAUUUGGCCCCAAACUAUGUGAAUUAAGCAACCUGUUAAUAACCAUAUAUAACUUGCAAGACUUGGACGGAGUAGGGAACUUGUAUGGAUGUAGAACCGGUUGGACACACCUCCUACCAAAAAAAUGCAGCAGAAAAUAUUGAAGGAUUUUCGAGUACAAUGACCGUUGAUGGCAAAACCAAAAAGCAAGACAGAAGAUCAAACACAAAGCAUUAUGUAACUUAUUUUGAAACGAAUUUGUCCAAAAUCCAUUUCGAUAUUUGUCGUCAGUUCCAAGGUAAUAGUAGGAAGCCCGUGCACAUGACGCACAUCAUCCAGUCAGCCAGAUCAGAUCAGAUGAAGCGUACUCCGUUGAUAACGAAUUGCCGUAGUUGGCAACAUGCGAUGCCAUAUAUAUACGUACGUACAUAUAUAUAUAUAUUUAGCUAAACACAAAUUCACUGAUAA